AACAUUUUUUCUGUUCCUUUAAAUAUGAUCAAGCAGAUGCAGAAGUUUUGCUCAUAGAAAGUACAUUUCUUCUAGGUGCCUUUAUAAGGAAGUAUUGUAUUUUU